rnacentral:rRNA from 1 species
AGUGAACGCUGGCGGUAGGCCUAACACAUGCAAGUCGAACGGAAGGACAGUAAGAGCUUGCUCUUGCGGGUGGCGAGUGGCGGGCGGGUGAGGCAUACAUCGGAAUCUUCUUUUUCGUGGGGGAUAACGUGGGGAAACUUACGCUAAUACAGCAUACGACCUACGGGUGAAAGCAGGGGUUCUUCGGACCUUGCCCGAUUGAUUGAGAUGAUGUCGGAUUAGCUAGUUGGCUGGGUAAAGGCACACCAAGGCAACGAUACGUAGCUGAUCUGAGAGGAUGAUCAGCCACACUGGAACUGAGACACGGUCCAGACUCCUACGGGAGGCAGCAGUGGGGAAUAUUGGACAAUGGGCGCAAGCCUGAUCCAGCCAUACCGCGUGGGUGAUGAAGGCCUUCGGGUUGUAAAGCCCUGUUGUUAGGAAAGAAAAGCAGCAGGUUAAUCCCCCGCUGUUCUGACGGUACCCAAAGAGUAAGCCCCGGCUAACUUCGUG